UGCACCUCUGCUGCUCCCACCCAGAGUGCUCUAACUGCACCUCUGCUGCUCCCACCCAGAGUGCUCUAACUGCACCUCUACUGCUCCCACCCAGAGUGCACUAACUGCACCUCUACUGCUCCCACCCAGAGUGCACUAACUGCACCUCUACUGCUCCCACCCAGAGUGCUCUAACUGCACCUCUACUGCUCUAACUGCACCUCUACUGCUCCCACCCAGAGUGCUCUAACUGCACUCUUCAGUGCUCCCCUCUUCAGAUGCUUUAACUUUAUCCCUAUCACUCUUCUCUUUAUGUGCACUCACUCCAUCUCCUCCUACUAUACCCUGGUUUGGGUUGCCUGCCUCUGCCUCCAUGUUUUGGAGUCUUGUCGAGAACAUAACUGGGAGUGGCCACAACAUAGCUCCUGGAAGCUGGACUAGGGGAAGCAGGUGAGUAGUCUGGCUUAGGGUCUCUCCUAUGAUCUUCAGGUAGCCUGGGAAUUGCUGUGUUGGCUGGAGCCGAGUUCUCUGGGUCAGAAUCACAGAUCCCGAGAGAAGCACGCUCAACCAGAAAGUCAUCAGUUACAGGCCCGGAAGGAAAAGGUAUGCACUGCAUGUUCUACCAGAAAUCGACCACCCUUCGGUCCAGCCGAUGAGAAAUCGUUAGUGUCAGGAAUUGCAAUUCUGUCUUAUCCUGGAAUAAACCCAUUCUUGCUGAUAAAAUAA